rnacentral:tRNA from 1 species
GUGGCUAUAGCUCAGUUGGUAGAGCCCCGGAUUGUGAUUCCGGUUGUCGUGGGGUNNNGGGUUCGAGCCCCAUUAGCCACCCCA